UACAGAGGUCCCGAGCGUUGUUCGGAUUCACUGGGCGUAAAGGGUGCGUAGGUGGUUGGGUAAGUCUGAUGUGAAAUCUCCGGGCUCAACCCGGAAAUGGCAUUGGAUACUAUUCGGCUAGAGGUUUGGAGGGGGGACUAGAAUUCUCGGUGUAGCAGUGAAAUGCGUAGAUAUCGAGAGGAACACCAGUGGCGAAGGCGGCUACCUGGACCGGUUCUGACGCUGAGGCGCGAAAGCGUGGGUAGCAAACAGG
rnacentral:rRNA from 1 species